rnacentral:rRNA from 1 species
GGUGAACGCUGGCGAUGUGCCUAAGACAUGCAAGUCGAGCGCCCCGCAAGGGGAGCGGCAGACGGGUGAGUAACGCGUGGGAAUCUACCCAUCUCUACGGAAUAACGCAUGGAAACGUGUGCUAAUACCGUAUACGUCCUUCGGGAGAAAGAUUUAUCGGGGAUGGAUGAGCCCGCGUUGGAUUAGCUAGUUGGUGGGGUAAAGGCCUACCAAGGCGACGAUCCAUAGCUGGUCUGAGAGGAUGAUCAGCCACACUGGGACUGAGACACGGCCCAGACUCCUACGGGAGGCAGCAGUGGGGAGUAUUGGACAAUGGGCGCAAGCCUGAUCCAGCCAUGCCGCGUGAGUGAUGAAGGCCCUAGGGUUGUAAAGCUCUUUCACCGGUGAAGAUAAUGACGGUAACCGGAGAAGAAGCCCCGGCUAACUUCGUGCCAGCCGCCGCAGUAA